rnacentral:rRNA from 1 species
UGGGGAAUUUUGGACAAUGGGGGAAACCCUGAUCCAGCCAUCCCGCGUGUGCGAUGAAGGCCUUCGGGUUGUAAAGCACUUUUGGCAGGAAAGAAACGUCAUGGGUUAAUACCCCGUGAAACUGACGGUACCUGCAGAAUAAGCACCGGCUAACUACGUGCCAGCAGCCGCGGUAAUACGUAGGGUGCAAGCGUUAAUCGGAAUUACUGGGCGUAAAGCGUGCGCAUGCGGUUCGGAAAGAAAGAUGUGAAAUCCCAGAGCUCAACUUUGGAACUGCAUUUUUAACUACCGGGCUAGAGUGUGUCAGAGGGAGGUGGAAUUCCGCGUGUAGCAGUGAAAUGCGUAGAUAUGCGGAGGAACACCGAUGGCGAAGGCAGCCUCCUGGGAUAACACUGACGCUCAUGCACGAAAGCGUGGGGAGCAAACAGG